GACGAACGCUGGCGGCGUGCUUAACACAUGCAAGUCGAACGGUGAUGCUCCAGCUUGCUGGAGUGGAUCAGUGGCGAACGGGUGAGUAACACGUGAGCAACCUGCCCCAGACUCUGGAAUAAGCGCUGGAAACGGCGUCUAAUACUGGAUACGAAACUGGCCCGCAUGGGCAUGGUUUGGAAAGUUUUUCGGUUUGGGAUGGGCUCGCGGCCUAUCAGCUUGUUGGUGAGGUAAUGGCUCACCAAGGCGACGACGGGUAGCCGGCCUGAGAGGGCGACCGGCCACACUGGGACUGAGACACGGCCCAGACUCCUACGGGAGGCAGCAGUGGGGAAUAUUGCACAAUGGGCGAAAGCCUGAUGCGGCGACGCCGCGUGAGGGAUGACGGCCUUCGGGUUGUAAACCUCUUUCAGCAGGGAAGAAGCGAAAGUGACGGUACCUGCAGAAGAAGCACCGGCUAACUACGUG
rnacentral:rRNA from 1 species